AUUAUUUCAUAUUUUUAAAUUUGAUUGAAUUAUAAUAUAUGCAAUUUGAUUAAAAUAUAUACAAUUUGGUUGAACAAUUACUUGGAAUGGGUUGGUUCGAUUUAUGGAUUGUGCUGAGCCGGUUUCAUGGUUAUGAUUAGGCGAUUUUAAUAGCAAGCUUUCAUGGGUUGGGUCUAAAAAAUCCGGCCUAUGAUCCACCCACAAAUUUCAGGGUUGAAGCCGAACUAGACCACGCUUUUCAUAGGCUCGACCCAUACGAUCCACAAGGUGGAUUAGAGUGAAUUGACCCGUACUAUUGACCAUCUCUAUUUAUUGUGGGUGGAUAUGACUAUGAGGAGGGUUAGUUUUCAAAUUCAUAGAAUGGGAUAUGUGAUUCUCAAAUCUGAAAUAACCCAACGAACUCAAAAUCCUGUAUAUUCCUUGUUUUCCUUUCUCGGACUAUAAGGCCCAAAGCCAAUACAGAAAUAACGACGUUAAUCACCGAACUUACAAAAUCCAUCCAUUACUCACAAUAAACUAACGCGCGCUCUAAUCCCCUAAUCUCUCCACAAAUCACCCAAAUAUCUCUCCAAAAAAAACUUCAAAUUUUCGAUGGAUAUUUUACUUGUAGAUUCACUGAAAUCAUCCACCUGGUUAUCGUCUUCUUUUCUGCCUUCAAUAUGUUCGACGAAAUGCGUCAAUGAAGGAAGAAGAAUUCUACCAUCUGAAUUGCGUGUAGUAGCAAAGAAGACCGAGGUAGCAAUGUCGAAGAAGGAAUUAUCAAAGAUGUUAUGGACUGAUGCCGCCAUUAAAGCUAUUGAGAGUAAAGCUGGUUCAAGAAAGUAUAAGAAUUUAUGGCCAAAAGCUGUUUUGGAAGCCUUAGAUGAUGCUAUACACCACCUUAAAUGGGACUCUGCUCUUAAGAUUUUUGGACUGCUUCGCAAACAGCAUUGGUAUCAACCAAGAUGUCAAACAUACACAAAGCUUUUAAUGAUGCUUGGCAAAUGUAGAAAGGCGGAGCAAGCUGGCUUGCUUUUUGAGGUGAUGUUGUCUGAUGGCCUUCGGCCUACUGUCGAUGUUUUCACUGCGUUGGUUAGUGCUUAUGGGACAUGUGGCCUCUUUGACCAAGCAUUUUCAAUAACCGAUGACAUGAAAUCUGUGUACGACUGUAAGCCUGAUGUUUAUACAUAUUCAAUACUACUUAGCUGCUGUGUUAAGCACCACCGUUUUGAUCUUGUAAAUCAGAUUUUUGCUGAGAUGUCAUAUCUGGGUAUAGAAUGCAGUGCAAUUACAUAUAACACUGUAAUAGAUGGAUAUGGCAAGGCUAAAUUAUUCGAUAUGAUGGAAAGCUUAUUAUGUGACAUGAUUGAUAGUGGUGCAUGCCGUCCAGAUGUUUUCACAAUGAACUCUUUCAUUUCGGGAUAUGGUAAUUGUGGGCAAAUAGAGAAAAUGGAGAGGUCAUAUGAAGAGUUUCAGCUGAUGGGGAUAAGCCCAGAUGUGAGGACCUUUAACAUUUUAAUCAGGUCAUAUGGGAGAGCAGGCAUGUAUCAGAAAAUGGAGUCAGUUCUGGAAUUCAUGAGAAAAAGAUUCUUCUCGCCAAGUGUUGUCACUUUCAAUACCGUGAUAGAUGUAUUUGGACGGGCUGGUAAUAUUGAGAAAAUGGAUGAAGUUUUUUUGAAAAUGAAGCAUCAGGGGAUGAAACCUAAUUCCAUUACCUAUUGCUCGCUUGUUGAUGCUUAUAGUAAUGCUGGAAAGUUGUUCAGAGUGGAAUCAAUUCUAAGGCAAAUUGAGAACUCUAAUGUGGUUUUGGAUACUACAUUCUUUAAUUGUGUCAUCAGUGCCUAUGGUCGGGCAGGCAACAUUGAUCAAAUGAACAAGUUAUUUUUAGAAAUGAAGGAAAAGAAUUGUGAGCCAGACUAUAUAACCUUUGCCACCAUGACACAAGCAUACAAUGCUAAUGGGAUGACUGAAGCUGCAGAAAACAUAAAGGCAAAGAUACUGUCCAUGCAAACCCGCUCAGGUCUGUCUCUAUCUUUAUGUAAGUCAUUUGGGUCAUUUCAUAUAUAUACAACCUUCGGUUUUGCAGAUGCAACACUUUUAAAUCCACUAACCAAAAAGGCAAAUGUUGCAUCCAAAAGAAACAGAGGAAGUAUGAUAUAACCUUCCAACAGAAGUUUCAUGAAGUGAAAUUCUCUGUGCUUUCCACUCAGGACCUGUGCUGCUUGGGUGCUAGUUUAUUUCUCUGGGUGCCUACUGUGGGAUAAUGUUCUUUGUUAACCACAGUUAGUGCAAUAAAUCAAUGAUGGAGAGCUUUGCGACUGCAAGCUGUUGCUGACUUGCUGGCUGUGAGUCAUCCCAGAUUCUUUUGUGCGGAGUUACACAUCAAUAUAUCAUGAUUUUCAGUUUGGUGAUCGGAACAGACAUAUUCCUUGUCAUAUUCUAAGGACGAGUUGAACACUAAUACUGAUGGGAUGCGUGCUUAGAAUGAUAAUUCUCACUUUGCAAUUGCAGCUGGUGAGUGGUGGUGGUGUUUUUCAGAGAAGACUGAGACAAGGGGCUUUUGGACAUUGACUUUUCUAUCAAAUUUAGAGCUCCCUUUGUCGAGUUGCUUUCUAUUAAGGAAGGGCCUUAAUUGCUUGGGAAUGCAGAAUCUGAUUCUGAUACGUGUUUCGAAGUUGAAACUCAAGGCAAUGGGAUCGAGAAACUACUCAUUUAGAGUUUGAUUAAGAGAAAUAUGGCUAUUGGCUAAUAUCUGUUGGCUAAUGGUGUUGCUCAUCAUUGGCUCACGUUUGUCUUCUACGAAGUAUGCAGAUCUUUAUCUUUGUACCUAAGGACUCUAAUUAUGCGAGGGUCACGUCUCACGUCGGGGUGCUGUAUGUAUGAAAUUGACUAACACCGGCUGGAUGGUUGGCUACUUAGCUUGCUAGUGCAGUGGUCUCCCGUUGUCGUGUUUGUGUUUUGGUUGUGUUGUUCAGCACUUCUGCUU